rnacentral:rRNA from 1 species
UACGUAGGGGGCAAGCGUUGUCCGGAUUUAUUGGGCGUAAAGAGCGUGUAGGCGGCCUUACAGGUCAGCUGUGAAAACUCGAGGCUCAACCUCGAGACGUCGGUUGAAACCAUCUGACUAGAGUCCGGAAGAGGAGAGUGGAAUUCCUGGUGUAGCGGUGAAAUGCGCAGAUAUCAGGAAGAACACCCGUGGCUAAGGCGGCUCUCUAGUACGUGACUGACGCUGAGACGCGAAAGCGUGGGGAGCGAACAGG